UUUCUAUCCUGCCCUCGUAUAUGCCCUAGUAUGGUAAGUGGCAGGCUUAAAAAAACCAAACACACCACUGGUAUUCCUAUAUGUUGGAAGUUAUGAUCUAGUUAAACUAGAUUCUCACUUCUUCUCUUCCAAAGGUAUUAAAAACCAUGCAGAUCUCUACUAUACAUCAGAUCUCAGAUUAAGAUAACAUCUCCACACUCACGGUGGACAGCCCAAGACUCCCUCAAUUUUAAGCAGCGUAAUUUCAACAUGUUGUGACAAUACUCUCCCAGAAUAUAAGGAUGGCAUUUCCAUAUAUUCAGAUAAUGUUGCCUCUACAUCCUAUCACCAGAAGUAUUCCAGACUUCCAUCUGAAGCAAAUCAGUUUACAAUCAAAUCUACAGAAAUCUCUAACCAAACCUAAAGCUUGAACUCUUGGCGUACAGUUUCAGAAGCUGUUAAAGAAUACAGUUCUAAAUUAAACAGGAUGUGAAAAAGCAACAAAGUACACUCCUAGCCCCUUCUGCCAUCUAAUGGCAGAUACCUAGAAGACAUCAUGCUUUCUACUUAGGGACUUCUAAAUGAAUGAAAAAUAAGCCUCCUCUUCAUCCGUAUGCUAUCAGAAGUGAUGUUUUAAAAUAAACUUGCUCACAAUUACAUUCUUAACAGCAACAAAACAAAUCACACGUUCCAUUUUGAAAAAAACACAUAUACCUACUUUUUUCCUGUCCAGUCGUGGUGCCACUCUGCUAUCCUGAGAAUCUGAUUGAUUGAUUUCUGGAUUAGUAUCCAGUAGUCUUUGCAUGGCUCGAUCACGAUCAAAAGCAGUUACAUAAAACAGCAUUUGCCGGGUAUCAAAUGGAAAGAAAAAUGGGCAUGUUUUUCCAAGCUCUGUCAGCCAAGUCGGUAUGUUUCCUGUCAUAAUUACCAGUGGAUCUUGAAGCUGUCUGUUUGCUUUUGCUGUCAGUUUACUAUUGAUAAAUUCCGAAGUUGGAAUAAUCUCCUUGCAUAUUGCAUUAUCAUACAAAUAAUACCAGUAUCGACUGAUAGCAUGUAAAACUCUCAAAAGAAGAAUAACAUCUAAUGAAGGAUCUUCAAAGGUUAUGUUUUCAGGAGGAGUAGAUAUGAGGUAAACUUCUAAAGGAUUCAAUACUGAAGGGCAUACACCAUCGUGCCACAACUCAUCAUGCUUUUUAGAAUUCCUAGGUGAGGUUUUUGUGGGAGCAGUUUGAGCUCUUCCUCUUUUACCACCAACACAGUCUUUGUUGCCAUCUUCAUCCUCCCGUACAGGUUUGUACCAAAUGGUAUGUGUUUUUGUCCAAAUCCCAGCUCUUCCUAAUGGAUUGCUUUCAUCAUCAGUCGAUUCCCUCUCCUCCUCAGCUUGCAAACUGUACAGCUUAACUGCUUGAUAUACAGUCAUAUUAUAUGGUAGCAAGUGAUCCCCAAUGUAAAACUGCAAUCUAUGUCUCACAUUCCCUGAAUUUAAGAAUUGAGCAGCCAAGGAUUCAUCUAUUUCUUCAUCUGACCCAUCAUCAUCACUAUCCUCAUCAUCUUCUCUAACUCUUCCAUAACCUCUAACAACAAGAUAUCUUUCAAUGGCUUGAACCAAAGCCAGAGGAUCAAUCUUCACAGGUCCACCCUUCC
rnacentral:lncRNA from 1 species